AAAAUAUAAAAUAUCAAAUUUUAAAUUUCAAAAAUUUAAAAUAUCAAAAUUUAAAUUUAAAAUUAUAAACUUUAAUUUUGAUAUUACAAAUUAUAAAUUUUAAAUUUUUAAAUUUUUAAAUUUUUAAAAUAAGAAUAGGGGUGGGAAUAAUUAAUAAAAAUAAUUUAUUAUAAUAAAUUUAUAAAUUUUUUUAAAAUUCUACUUAAGCUUAAAUUUAAUACAAAGAAUUUAUUAUAAUAUUUAAAUAUAAAUAAUAUGUAUUAAUAUAGUACAAUUAAUAAUUUUAUAAUAAAAGUAAUGUAUUAUAAUAUGUAACAUAUUAUAUUUAUAUAAUUUAGUUUUAAUUCAAUUUAUAAUUUUAAUUAAGUUUGAAAUUAAGCAUUGGAAUAGCACUAUUUCACUAAAAUGGUGGAAUAGUAAAUUCUUUGUUAUUCCUGGAUAAUUAAAAAUAGUAAAAUUUGACUGGAAUAAAAUAUUUUGAUAAAAUAUCACUACGUUUAGCGAAAUAGCGGGAAUAAUUUUCGUUAUCCCGCUUAUUUCUCAAACCAAACGGGACCAUAUAUAGAGAUUGUCAGACCUAUUUGCCAAUUUUGACGUAGAAACUGAAAAUUCAUUAGAUUUAACCAAUCGAGGGUUUAAACGAGUAUAUAUAUAUAGAGAGAGAAAGAGAGAGAGAGAGAUAGAAUGAGGCUACUAUGCUUCUGGAAGCAUAGAGCCUUCCGUGUUUUCAGGUUGUUUUCGAUGUUGCGACUUUCGAAUCGUCGAUGGUUCCGUUAAACUUGAUCUAGAGUAUUUGAAUUACUUAGAAAAUAAAUUUUAUGAUUUUUCGAUAUCAUUUGCCUAGUGAUCGAAGGGACUCAAAAUCAAUAAUUUUAAUGGCCGUGGUGAGCCGUUUGUAAGUUUAACGGUGUAGAAAUAUCCAAAUCACGUGAAAUUUUGAUAGAAAAUUCUUUAUAUUAUAUAAAACAAGAUCAAUAUCUUUUAUCUAAAAUUUUAAUGUCAUAUUAUCACGUUUUGUAUGAUUUUUAUUUUCAGUCGUUGAUUUUGAACUCUUUAGUUCACAAGGCAAAUGAUAUCGAAAAAUUGCAAAAUUUAUUUUCUAGGUACUCCAAAUACUCUAGAUCAAGUUUAACGGAGCCGAUCGACGAUUCGAAAGUCGCAACAUUGAAAACGAGCUGGAAGCACGGAAGGCUCCGUGCUUCCGACAGCAUAGUAGCCUCACUCUAUAUAUAUAUAUGAUGUUGCGACUUU
rnacentral:lncRNA from 1 species